rnacentral:pre_miRNA from 1 species
AUUACCUGGGGGAUCUUAUUAAUAUGCAGAUUCUGACUCAGUAAGUCUAGGGUAGGGCCCAAGAUUCUGCAUUUCUAGCAAGUUCCCAGGUAAUGCCAA